AGGUUAGCAUUUCAUGUGAGCAUUUUUGCAUCGCAAGAAUACUGACCAAUCGCAAGCCGUUUUUUGAUGUUACUUGACAAGUCCUUUUAUUUGGACACAUCUGCGAUAGGCGGAGGAGCAUGUGGGACGCGCACAAAGGUCACAGCGUACAAAAUCACUGAUCAUGCGACAUGCCGAUUGUAUCAUAUGAUAACGGUCUUCUGGAAGCUGAUAAUACUUGGAACACAUUGUAACUGAGCGAAGGGGAUCUCUUCAAUCUAGAACCAACUCUAGAUCCUUGUCACUCGGUAAAGCUGUAACGAUGAGUCAUUACAACAAGCUUCAGAAUAAUCACGAUGAAGAGCUCGGUAAUGAAGUGAAUCAAAAUGCAAAUGACUGGCUCAAGUCACGUGGCUCAUCGGAAAGUCGUCCCCCAAGUCGACCUAGCAUUGGAACAGAAAUCGCGUUCCACAAUAUAUGUUACACAGUUCCUGCAAAAGAGAACCGAAAAAGGGUAUUAAAACCUAUUUUAAACAACGUAAGUGGCCUGAUGAAACCUGGUCUUCAUGCAAUACUAGGACCGACUGGCAGUGGAAAAACGACGCUCUUAGAUGUGCUUGCUGGUAGGAAAGACAAGAAGUAUUUAACUGGAUAUGUUUUGGUUAAUGGAAGGAGACAACCAAAAAAUUUCAGACUACUUUCAGGCUACGUAGUUCAGGAUGAUAUUAUCAUGGGCACUCUGACAGUCAGGGAAAACCUGAUGUUUUCAGCAUCACUUCGUUUGCCGCCAGAGUUCAGCAAAGAGGAUAGGAGAGCCAGAGUUGAAAUGGUUAUUAACGACCUCGGACUUUCAAAAGUCGCAGAUUCAAAGGUUGGUAAUGAAAUGAUAAGAGGGAUUUCGGGAGGCGAAAGGAAAAGAACAGCCAUUGGUAUGGAAUUAAUAAUAUCUCCAGAUGUGCUUUUUCUUGAUGAGCCAACUACUGGAUUGGAUGCUGCCACGGCGUCAUCAGUCAUGGAGCUGCUUGCCAAACAAACUCGAAAAGGUCGUAACGUCAUAUUCUCAAUUCAUCAGCCCAGGUAUUCUAUUUUCAAACUUUUCGGGUCACUUACAUUGCUGUCACAAGGAGAAAUGGCCUAUCAUGGUCCAUGCAGUGAUGUCUUGCCUUACUUCGAAAAAAUGGGUUAUACUUGCGAGAUGCACGAUAACCCUCCAGAUUUCCUGUUGGAUAUUCUGGGACUGGAAGAAAGAUCAAUUAAAGCACUGAAGGCUAUUCAUGAGUACAACUCAAUUGAUUCAAAAGAAGAUAGAGAGAAGUACAUUGCGAGUGCCAAAGGUGAGCCCGUCACGGCCAAGUAUCGAAAUACAGAGAUGUAUGCAAGUACGGUCUCAGAAUUGGAAGGGCAAGUAGAUAAUUUGCUUGAGUACGAGGCUGGGAAUAACAAUGAUGCUGAAAGCGAUAUACCUUAUCCAACGUCAUUUUUCACCCAGUUUGCUGUCAAUUCUGCAAGAAAUGUCAAAGAUACCAUUCGAAACCCGAAGACUGGAGUCUCUCAGAUUGCUGUCAAUAUCCUUUUAGCUGUCGUCAUUGGUCUCAUCUAUUUGCAACUCGACCAGGGGGAAAGUGGUUUACAAAACAGGGUUGGUGUUUUCUUCUUUGUGACAAUGAAUAUGAUAUUUGGUAACAUGAAUGCUGUUCAAAUCUUUAUCUCUGAAAGAGCCUUUUUCACGCAUGAAUGUGCGAGUGGCUACUACAGGAUUUCGUCAUACUUCUUUGCAAAAGUCCUCUGUGACAUUAUUCCAAUGAGGAUAAUUCCUGUCACCAUAUUUUCAGCCAUUGCUUAUUGGAUGAUAGGUUUACAGCAUGACGUCAUCAAGUUUUUAAUCUUUAUUUUGACUUUGAUCGCGACGUCUCUGAGUUCCGUGGCAAUUUGUUUCGUUGUCAGUUCAAGCACAAAAAUGUUUGCACUAGCCAGUCUGUUUACUGUGCUACCGUACAUCUUCAUGAUGAUUUUUAGUGGCAUGCUAAUCAACCUAAAGACGAUGACAAAGUACCUGAGCUGGCUGCGAUAUCUAAGCAUUUUCAAAUACAGCUUACAGACCCUUGAGAUAAAUGAGCUAAAGGACAUGAAAUUCAAUUGUGGAAACAUUACCGCUCCUUGUAUGAGCGGAAAUGAUUACUUGAGUCAGCAAGGGAUCCUUGCAAGAGACUUGUGGGACAACAUUGCGGCUUUAUUUUCUAUAGCAGGUAUUCUCCUAGCCCUGGCGUACAUUCAGCUGCGAAGAAUAAAAAAGGAAAAGUGAUCUGAGAUAAUUUGUCACUCAAUGGUAUAUAUCUCAAAACAUUUAAUUUUAGUUUAGUAUUAUUUUUUCUUUAAUUCAAAAGAGUUUAGAUUGAUUCUCAGCAUUAUGCUUCAACAUAAAGUAAGAUUGACUGUGCUUUCUAAAGGACCAGCGAGCCACCAAUAGUUUCGUCCACCUCCACUAAUUAGAAUCCUCCUAUAAGCAAAUUUUUCCAUAUAAGAAAUGUAUUUCCAUAUUCAUAUAGUUUAUAUUCAGUCAUACCUAUAUACAUGUCUACAUAAUACCUAUACGGUACGAUGACAAGAGUUGAUAUAAGAAAUGUAUAGGCAGUGUUCUCGCAACGUCUUUUCGAGAGAAUACGUCGAUAAAUAUCAUGAAGUAACUAGCCACUGAUCAGAAAAUUCUGUUUCAAAAUUCCAUUGCAAACCUGGGUAAUCUUCAUUUAGUUUACAGUCAGUCAUACCUAUAUACAUGUAUACAUAAUACCUAAACGGUACGAUGACAAGAGUUGACAAAAGAUGAACGUUUUUUAGCUUUGUUGAAGAUGAAGACUGUGCACAGACAUUUUCCUACAUCUAACUUAUAAUGCAAUUUAGAUUUGAAACGCUGUAACGCUUUUUACUAAAAUUUGUGAUUUGCAAACCCAUCACUUCUAAAAUUAUUGCUAAAGACUGAUUUACGCUGUAAAUUUUUAGUUAUAAUGUAUACUUAAUAGUAAUGAUCAUAAUUAUUUCUUUUUUCGUAGUGGUUGUAUUUAGUAUUGACCAGUGCUACUCUUCUGUUUGAAUGUGCAAUUUGUGAGAAUAGAUUCGCCUAGAAAUGAAUCAUGGCUUGAGUAGUUCCUGAAAAUUUUCUACACUGCGAAGCUCUUCAUACACCUCCGCAAGACUUGAAUUCGCCACGCGAAUGCCUCCGUAGCUAAAAAGGUUCAUCGGCUUUAGUUUAGCUUAUCUGAAACCAAUAACAUCCUAUCGGCAGAAUAAGAAGCCGGGAAGCCGGACCCAAAUGCGCACGGGGGCCAUUGUCCCUUGCCUUCCCAGGCUAGGAAGGUAAAAAGAGAGUGAGACCCAUUGAGAUUUGGUGCCCUUGCAACAAUCUGGCGAUUUCAUCAAUAUGAAUGAGCUAACAAGAGGCUAGAUUGUUACAACGUAAAUCAAGUGGAGGCUAUCUGAAGAUGCUAGAAAUUUUACCAUGGUUUUUCAGUAUUACUUCGAAGAUGGAUCCAAGUAAGGGUCCAGAAAAUCGUGUAUAUCUAUACCAUGAGUUGGAGCCAAGCCUGAAGAGAAGAAUAAGAAAUUCUUAUAUCAUAGCAGGAGUCUGGGCUGGCUUCAUACUUGGUGGUGCUGGUAUAUUUGUUCUGCUAAUGCCAUGGAUGGAUAGAGAAAGAGAAAAGAGACAGAAAAAAGAAGCUGAAGAAUUGCAAUUACUUUCUGAGAACAAUAGGACUAUUAAAGAGAAUAGUAAUACUGGAACAACAUUAACACAAAAAGUAGAAGAACUGAAAAUAAAAGCUUCAAGUCCAUUGCCGUGAUAUGGAUUGAAAUAUUGGAGUGUUGAAUAAAGAAGUGUAAAAUAAUGCACUUCUUUAGCAUAUUAUACUUAACUGUUGUUUAUAACAUUUCUGGAUAAAUUUUUACUGUCUGAUCUGACCUUUU